AUUGAACGCUGGCGGCAGGCCUAACACAUGUAAGUCGAGCGGAUGAAGGGAGCUUGCUCCGGGAUUCAGCGUCGGACGGGUGAGUAAUGCCUAGGAAUCUGCCUCGUAGUGGGGGAUAACGUCUGGAAACGGGCGCUAAUACCGCAUACGUCCUGAGGGUGAAAGUGGGGGAUCUUCGGAACUCACGCUAUCAGAUGAGCCUAGGUCGGAUUAGCUAGUUGGUGGGGUAAAGGCCUACCAAGGCGACGAUCCGUAACUGGUCUGAGAGGAUGAUCAGUCACACUGGAACUGAGACACGGUCCAGAGUCCUACGGGAGGCAGCAGUGGGGAAUGUUGGACAAUGGGCGAAAGCCUGAUCCAGCAAUGCCGCGUGUGUGAAGAAGGUCUUCGGAUUGUAAAGCACUUUAAGUUGGGAGGAAGGGCAGUAAGUUAAUACCUUGCUGUUUUGACGUUACCAACAGAAUAAGCACCGGCUAACUUCGUG
rnacentral:rRNA from 1 species